ACAAACGCACGAACCGAAAACAGAUCCACUUGGGUACUGGUCAGGUUGCUAAGCAUACCUACCUGACAAAGUCCCUAAUGCCGCAGCGUCUAAGAAAAAAGACUUACUCGUAGCGUGGUCAGCUGCGUGCAGAACGUCACGGCAUCCUGCACCGGCAUGGACGAUUUGCGGGAGGCGAUGACCGGCGCGUUAAGCCUGCUCGAGGUAUGCGAUCGACCCGACUUGGACAGUAACCACCGUGUGCUGAUGCAGUGCGAAAAGACGUUAAACCAGACCAUCGGUAGCAAAUCACGCGCCUGUACUCAUCGUGCCGAACGAGAAUUUAAGCAGAUUCAAGAACCUUUCAGUCCACUGGGACUUCUGGAAGUGUUCGAAGCCGAAAACCAUCACAAAAUACUAUUAUGCCUGCAGUGGAACGGAGGUGGCCGAUCACUGCGGACCGGAAGCACAGAGGACAGCUGGAGCAUUCCGUAGUGCGAUUUUGGAUGCCUUUAAUGUAAUGGACCACGUGGUGCGAA